UCAGUUGUGAAAGUUUGCGGCUCAACCGUAAAAUUGCAGUUGAUACUGGCUGUCUUGAGUACAGUAGAGGUGGGCGGAAUUCGUGGUGUAGCGGUGAAAUGCUUAGAUAUCACGAAGAACUCCGAUUGCGAAGGCAGCUUACUGGACUGUAACUGACGCUGAUGCUCGAAAGUGUGGGUAUCAAACAGGAUUAGAUACCCUGGUAGUCCACACAGUAAACGAUGAAUACUCGCUGUUGGCGAUACACAGUCAGCGGCCAAGCGAAAGCAUUAAGUAUUCCACCUGGGGAGUACGCCGGCAACGGUGAAACUCAAAGGAAUUGACGGGGGCCCGCACAAGCGGAGGAACAUGUGGUUUAAUUCGAUGAUACGCGAGGAACCUUACCCGGGCUUAAAUUGCAGUGGAAUGUAGUGGAAACAUUACAGCCUUCGGGCCGCUGUGAAGGUGCUGCAUGGUUGUCGUCAGCUCGUGCCGUGAGGUGUCGGCUUAAG
rnacentral:rRNA from 1 species